UCCCGUGUGGCUCAGUUGGUAGAGCAUGGUGUUUGCAAUGCCAGGGUUGUGGGUUAGAGUCCCACGGGAG
rnacentral:tRNA from 1 species